CAUUACUCUGAAAAACAGAGAGAAAAGAAAACCAAAAACCAUUUCUUGGCUGGUUUGAAGAAAUUCUAAGGAGAUCCAAGUGAAAUCAAAGCCAAAGAAGUGGAUUAAGCUUAGUUCUAGCCUUUUUAUGAUAUUUUUUGGUGGUUUCCAAGUGGUUUGAGGUUUAGAAAAUCUAGAAGAGAUUGUUUUCGCCGAAAAGUUGCUCGGAUAAGCACAUCAACACCUAAGACACCACUUGUUACACGGUGAAAUAUAUUUUGGACAGAAGGUAGAGAAAGAAAUGAGUGAAUGACAUAAGGAGAACUGAAGCAUGGUCCUGACCCUGAUUUGUACAUAUGAACAUAUCGACCUUUGUGGGUUAUUUCAGUUUAUCAAUGUGAUAUUUGUAAUAAAGUGUGAAGUUAUGUUUUGAAAACAAAUUGAG